AAAUCUUAAAAAAAAUGAGAAACAUUUAGAAUAAGUGGUAUAGGGCAGCCCAGGUGGCUCAGCAGUUUAGCACCGCCUUCAGUCCAGGGCCUGAUCCUGGAGGCCUGGGAUCGAGUCCCAUGUCAGGCUCCCUGCAUGGAGCCUGCUUCUCCCUCUGCCUCUCUCUCUCUCUCUCUCUCUCUCUCAUGAAUAAAUAAAUAAAAUCUUUUAAAAAAAUAGAAUAAGUGGUAUAGGAAAGAUGAACCUGAUAACCUACAGUUCGAAUUUGCCUUCAAAGCCUCUGCCCUCACAAUGCCCUCCGGACGCCUCGGCCAGCUUUUAUACUUCCUGCAAUUAUCAGUGCAAUUUGGAAGUUAUAGAACAAUUGAUCAAAGACAGUGCUUGACAUACUCUUACUAGACUCUUCUUUUUUCCUUUGUCUCAAGCUUUUCUUUAGAGCCAGGUCGGAUGCCUUAUGGCUCUUCGACUUCACUAGUGGGGCAGUUCAUAACCCUUUCCUGGGGACUGAGCAUUUCUCUCAGAAACAAUUCUGGCCACGGAGCAAGUAAUGAAAUGAGAACAAAAAAUAUUUCAUAUCGUGGGUCUUCUCCUUUCCUCUACAUCAAUAGUUUUACACCUCUGGAAAUCAUCAUGAGCUGAUCUCAAU
rnacentral:lncRNA from 1 species